rnacentral:rRNA from 1 species
CGUAGGGUGCGAGCGUUAAUCGGAAUUACUGGGCGUAUAGCGUGCGCAGGCGGUUUAGUAAGACAGGCGUGAAAUCCCCGGGCUCAACCUGGGAACUGCGCUUGUGACUGCUAAGCUAGAGUACGGCAGAGGGGGGUGGAAUUCCACGUGUAGCAGUGAAAUGCGUAGAGAUGUGGAGGAACACCAAUGGCGAAGGCAGCCCCCUGGGUCGAUACUGACGCUCAUGCACGAAAGCGUGGGUAGCAAACAGGAUUAGAUACCCUGGUAGUCCACGCCCUAAACGAUGUCAACUAGGUGUUGGGAGGGUAAAACCUUUUAGUACCGGAGCUAACGCGUGAAGUUGACCGCCUGGGGAGUACGGCCGCAAGGUUA